AAAAAAAUUUUGGAGUAUUCCUUCACUAAAGCAGCCCAGUGAGAAGCAGCACUUUUUUUUUUUUUUUUUUUUCUCAGUUGAAUGACAUUGCAACCCGAAAUCACAACUCCGUUUUAGGUUCCUGGUGGUGCCUGCUUCCUCUUCUAGUUUGUUUAGUCACAGAAUUCGAUUCCUGUUGGCCGAUUACGCGCCUACAAACAGGCUUAGCGCUCAAUUGAAAUGCGUGAGGCUCCUUAACUCUUGUAUAAACAGAAACCAGCUGCAACUUUAGGUCAGGGCGCAUUAAAAUGAGCCACUUCUGAACGAGCAGCGCCCAGGCCCCAGGCCCUGCUGUGAAGGCCCCGGCAAAGGUCAGGGCUUGGUCCGCGUGACGUUCCAGCCCGUGCUCAUCCAAGCGGUGCUCUGCCUCAGCAAAGGUAUCUGCCCUCCUAAAACAACAGGAAUGUUGCACUGGCCUUCAGCCAGCGAAGGCUCAGCGAGCAGGAUAAAAUUUCAAUGCAGAUUUACGGGAAGUUGCCGGUGCUGGGAGUAAAA
rnacentral:lncRNA from 1 species